GGCACGCUCUGAUGUAUAUAUUAAGUUGUUGCAGUUAAAAAGCUCGUAGUUGAAACUUGGGUGUGUAGGGGCGGUCUCUUUUAGAGUACUACCCUGAAACAUCUUUCUUUGGUGUAAACUCUUUAUUCACUUAAGGAGUGUAAACCAAACAUUUACUUUGAAAAAAUUAGAGUGUUCAAAGCAGGCCUUUGCUCGAAUAUAUUAGCAUGGAAUAAUAGAAUAGGACGUAUGGUUCUAUUUUGUUGGUUUCUAGGACCGUCGUAAUGAUUAAUAGGGACGGUCGGGGGCAUCAGUAUUCAGUUGUCAGAGGUGAAAUUCUUGGAUUUACUGAAGACUAACUACUGCGAAAGCAUUUGCCAAGGACGUUUUCAUUAAUCAAGAACGAAAGUUAGGGGAUCGAAGACGU
rnacentral:rRNA from 1 species